CUCUUAUUCAGAGCGGUGGAGAUACAAAGGAUCUGUGAAGCCGCGGCAACCCCUUGUAAGGAAGGUGCCAACCUGAGCGAGUGAUCGAACAAUAAGAG
rfam:Lachnoclostridium sp. An76 An76_contig_3, whole genome shotgun sequence.